AACGCACAUUGCGCCCGCCAGUAUUCUGGCGGGCAUGCCUGUUCGAGCGUCAUUUCAACCCUCAAGCCCCGGCGGCUUGGUGUUGGGGACCGGCGACCCUUCUCGUCCGCCGCCCCCGAAAUGAAUUGGCGGCCUCGUCGCGGCCUCCUCUGCGUAGUAGCACAACCUCGCAGCGGGAGCGCGGCGCGGCCACUGCCGUAAAACGCCCAACUUUUUUUCUCAGAGUUGACCUCGAAUCAGGUAGGAAUACCCGCUGAACUUAA
rnacentral:misc_RNA from 1 species